UGUGAACGUUACCAAACUGUUGCCUCGGCGGGAUCUCUGCCCCGGGUGCGUCGCAGCCCCGGACCAAGGCGCCCGCCGGAGGACCAACCAAAACUCUUAUUGUAUACCCCCUCGCGGGUUUUUUUAUAAUCUGAGCCUUCUCGGCGCCUCUCGUAGGCGUUUCGAAAAUGAAUCAAAACUUUCAACAACGGAUCUCUUGGUUCUGGCAUCGAUGAAGAACGCAGCGAAAUGCGAUAAGUAAUGUGAAUUGCAGAAUUCAGUGAAUCAUCGAAUCUUUGAACGCACAUUGCGCCCGCCAGUAUUCUGGCGGGCAUGCCUGUCCGAGCGUCAUUUCAACCCUCGAACCCCUCCGGGGGGUCGGCGUUGGGGAUCGGCCCUCCCUUAGCGGGUGGCCGUCUCCGAAAUACAGUGGCGGUCUCGCCGCAGCCUCUCCUGCGCAGUAGUUUGCACACUCGCAUCGGGAGCGCGGCGCGUCCACAGCCGUUAAACACCCAACUUCUGAAAUGUUGACCUCGGAUCAGGUAGGAAUACCCGCUGAACUUAAGCAUAUCAAAAGGCCGGAGGAAA
rnacentral:rRNA from 1 species